CCUACGGGAGGCAGCAGUGAGGAAUAUUGGUCAAUGGGCGCUAGCCUGAACCAGCCAAGUAGCGUGAAGGAUGACUGCCCUAUGGGUUGUACACUUCUUUUAUAAGGGAAUAAAGUGCAUCAUGUAUACUUCUUUGCAUGUACUUUAUGAAUAAGGAUCGGCUAACUCCGUUCCAGCAGCCGGGGUAAUACGGAGGAUCCGAGAGUUAUCCGGAUUUAUUGGGUUUAAAGGGAGCGUAGAUGGGUUGUUAAGUCAGUUGUGAAAGUUUGCGGCUCAACCGUAAAAUUGCAGUUGAUACUGGCAGUCUUGAGUACAGUAGAGGUAGGCGGAAUUCGUGGUGUAGCGGUGAAAUGCUUAGAUAUCACGAAGAACUCCGAUUGCGAAGGCAGCUUGCUGGACUGUAACUGACGCUGAUGCUCGAAAGUGUGGGUAUCAAACAGGAUUAGAUACCCGGGUAGUC
rnacentral:rRNA from 1 species